UACGUAGUGUGCAAGCGUUGUCCGGAAUUAUUGGGCGUAAAGAGCUCGUAGGCGGUUUGUCGCGUCUGCUGUGAAAACUCGGGGCUCAACUCCGAGCUUGCAGUGGGUACGGGCAGACUAGAGUGCGGUAGGGGAGACUGGAAUUCCUGGUGUAGCGGUGGAAUGCGCAGAUAUCAGGAGGAACACCGGUGGCGAAGGCGGGUCUCUGGGCCGUAACUGACGCUGAGGAGCGAAAGCAUGGGGAGCGAACAGG
rnacentral:rRNA from 1 species